UACGUAGGCAGCAAGCGUUGUUCGGAAUUACUGGGCGUAAAGCGUGCGCAGGCGGUUCGUUGUGUCGGCGGUGAAAGCCCCGGGCUUAACCUGGGAAUGGCCGUCGAAACUGGCGAACUGGAGUGUGGCAGAGGGGGGUGGAAUUCCGCGUGUAGCAGUGAAAUGCGUAGAGAUGCGGAGGAACACCGAUGGCGAAGGCAGCCCCCUGGGCUGACACUGACGCUCAGGCACGAAAGCGUGGGGAGCAAACAGG
rnacentral:rRNA from 1 species